rnacentral:rRNA from 1 species
UACGAAGGGAGCCAGCGUUGUUCGGAAUUACUGGGCGUAAAGGGCGCGUAGGCGGUUUUGUAAGUCUGAUGUGAAAGACCUGGGCUUAACCUAGGAAUUGCAUUGGAAACUAUAAAACUAGAGGGUGCGAGAGGAAAGUGGAAUGACGAGUGUAGAGGUGAAAUUCGUAGAUAUUCGUUAGAACACCAGAGGCGAAGGCGGCUUUCUGGCGCACUACUGACGCUAAGGCGCGAAAGCGUGGGGAGCAAACAGG